AUUCCCUAUUAACGGCGAGUGAAGCGGGAAUAGCUCUAUUUGUAAUCUGGCGGUCUACGGCCGUCCGAGUUGUAAUCUGGAGAAGCGUUUUCGGCGCCGGUCCGCGUAAAGUCCCCUGGAACGGGGCGUCGCGAGGGUGAGAAUCCCGUCUUUGACGCGGUCCGCCGGUGCCGUGCGAUGCGCUCUCGAAGAGUCGAGUUGUUUGGGAAUGCAGCUCAAAACGGGUGGUAAAUUCCAUCUAAAGCUAAAUACUGGCGAAAGACCGAUAGCGAACAAGUACCGUGAGGGAAAGAUGAAAAGCACUUUGGAAAGAGAGUCAAACAGUACGUGAAAUUGUUGAAAGGGAAACGCUUGAAGUCAGUCGCGUCUCUCGGGACUCAGCCGAGGAAACCCUUCUCGGUGCAUUUCCCGAGUCUGGACGGGCCAGCAUCGGUUUCGACCGUCGUAAAAAGGCUUGAGGAACGUGGCACCCUCGGGUGUGUUAUAGCCUCUCGUCGUAUGUGACGGACGGGACCGAGGAACGCAGCGCGCCCCUCGCGGGGCCGGGGUUCGCCCACGUAACGCGCUUAGGAUGCUGGCGUAAUGGCUUUAAGCGACCCGUCUUGAAACACGGACCAAGGAGUCUAACAUGCUCGCGAGUGUUCGGGUGGAAAACCCGUGCGCGUAAUGAAAGUGAAAGGUUGGGACCCCUCGUUUGGGGGCACCGACGCCCGGACUCGAGCUUCUGCGAAGGUUCCGAGGCAGAGCGCGUAUGUUGGGACCCGAAAGAUGGUGAACUAUGCCUGAGUAGGGCGAAGCCAGAGGAAACUCUGGUGGAGGCUCGUAGCGAUU
rnacentral:rRNA from 1 species